GAUCCUGGCUCAGGAUGAACGCUAGCUACAGGCUUAACACAUGCAAGUCGAGGGGCAGCGGGAUUGAAGCUUGCUUCAAUUGCCGGCGACCGGCGCACGGGUGAGUAACGCGUAUCCAACCUGCCCACCACUUGGGGAUAACCUUGCGAAAGUAAGACUAAUACCCAAUGAUAUCUCUAGAAGACAUCUGAAAGAGAUUAAAGAUUCAUCGAUGAUGGAUGGGGAUGCGU
rnacentral:rRNA from 1 species